GGUAAUGUAGCUUAUAGAAAGCAUUUUGUUGAAAACGAAAAGGAUGGUUUUUACUCAUUGCCU
rnacentral:tRNA from 1 species